GCAGCCGCGGUAAUACGUAGGUGGCAAGCGUUGUCCGGAAUUAUUGGGCGUAAAGGGCUCGCAGGCGGUUUCUUAAGUCUGAUGUGAAAGCCCCCGGCUCAACCGGGGAGGGUCAUUGGAAACUGGGAAACUUGAGUGCAGAAGAGGAGAGUGGAAUUCCACGUGUAGCGGUGAAAUGCGUAGAGAUGUGGAGGAACACCAGUGGCGAAGGCGACUCUCUGGUCUGUAACUGACGCUGAGGAGCGAAAGCGUGGGGAGCGAACAGGAUUAGAUACCCUGGUAGUCCACGCCGUAAACGAUGAGUGCUAAGUGUUAGGGGGUUUCCGCCCCUUAGUGCUGCAGCUAACGCAUAAGCA
rnacentral:rRNA from 1 species